rnacentral:rRNA from 1 species
CCCUUAGAUGUUCUGGGCCGCACAUGCGCUACACUGAAGGAAUCAACGUGUAUUUGCCCUUGCCCGAAAGGGUUGGGUAACCCGUUGAACCUCCUUCGUGCUAGGGAUUGGGGCUUGUAAUUAUUCCCCAUGAACGAGGAAUUCCCAGUAAGCGCGAGUCAUAAGCUCGCGUUGAUUACGUCCCUGCCCUUUGUACACACCGCCCGUCGCUACUACCGAUUGAAUGGUUUAGUGAGAUCCUCGGUUUGGUCCCGCCACGGGAGGAAACUUUCGAGGCGGAGUGCCGAGAAGACGAUCAAACUUGAUCAUUUAGAGGAAGUAAAAGUCGUAACA